rnacentral:rRNA from 1 species
GUGGGGAAUAUUGGACAAUGGGCGAAAGCCUGAUCCAGCCAUGCCGCGUGUGUGAAGAAGGUCUUCGGAUUGUAAAGCACUUUAAGUUGGGAGGAAGGGCAGUAAGUUAAUACCUUGCUGUUUUGACGUUACCGACAGAAUAAGCACCGGCUAACUUCGUGCCAGCAGCCGCGGUAAUACGAAGGGUGCAAGCGUUAAUCGGAAUUACUGGGCGUAAAGCGCGCGUAGGUGGUUUUGUAAGUUGGAGGUGAAAUCCCCGGGCUCAACCUGGGAACUGCCUCCAAAACUGCAUGAUUAGAGUACGGUAGAGGGUAGUGGAAUUUCCUGUGUAGCGGUGAAAUGCGUAGAUAUAGGAAGGAACACCAGUGGCGAAGGCGACUACCUGGACUGAUACUGACACUGAGGUGCGAAAGCGUGGGGAGCAAACAGGAUUAGAAACCCCAGUAGUCC